UAAAGAAAAUGAAAACGCAAAUUUUCAUUGAAAAAAAGAGCCAGAGAGAUAUCGGAAUUUUUUUUAGAGAGAGAAAAAAAUCGGGUCAACCAGUUGGGUCACCCGAAUCCAACCCGCAACUAACCCGACUGUGAGACCCGACCCCUGGAAUUGAACAAACUCAGACCCACCCAAAACAUGUCGGAUCAGAUCGGGUUGGUCGGGUCCCUGCUUAGCCCUAAUUAAAGCUACUUCUAAGAAUGGUAAUCUAAGCAACAAGUGUAUAAACUGUCCAGAUGAUCAUGCUGAAUGUAUCUCACUUGUCCAAAAAAACUUCGUGGUGAAACCGUUGUCCACAACUUCUCUUACUACACCGCUUAACAAGCUCAAUAUCAAGGAAAUAGGGACUUUUGAGGAGAAAGUGGUCGAUUUCGGCAGGGAUGAGGUUUUGAAACUGCUCAAAGCUUCUCUGCUGACAAAGAGUAUUCUCACUGAUGUCUUCCUCCCUGUUUUGAAAGAGGAAGUUAAUUGCCAACAGGAGGUAGAAGGGAAAUUUUAAUAUGUAAGUGCACGAAUUUUGUGGGAUUGUCAAGAAGUGUUUUUUGUUUCAAAUAUGUCAUAAAUGUUACUUUGUUAGUCAAAACUGGUGUGGCAAUGUAGAGGGAACCAUGCUUGCUCUUCUCUUAAAUUUUUUUUUUUCCUUUUUUGGGCUGUUGUGGGAGAGGGAGUGCUCUGUGUUUCAAGACAUGACAUGUAAGCACGUAAGUUUCUAUUAAUUAUCUCCGGAUAGAUGUAUGUA